rnacentral:rRNA from 1 species
AUGGCCGCCACGCCGGAGGAGUUCCUGGGGCAGCAGGGUUUCCUUGCGCGGCUGGAGCCGCCCUCGCCGUCCCUGUUCCUCGGCCUGCCGCCGACGCCCCGCGGCGAGGAGGACGGGGACUCCUCGUUUGACGACAUGGCACUGCCCUACAUCUCGCGCCUGCUGGAGGAGGACAUGGAGGACCACUUCUUCUACCUGUACCCCAACCACCCCGCGCUCCUCCGGGCGCAGCUGCCCUUUGCGCAGAUCCUCGUCGACGUCGCCGACAGCGCCAGCGGCUCCACCUCCGCGCUCUCGCCGUCCUCCUCCACCUCCACCUUCGACGCCACUGCCUCCACAACCCCCAGCGCUACAUCGCCCUACGACGCAGCGAUCCAGAUCUCACGCCCGCCCUACGCCCAAGUACUGGGCCUUGCCUCAGGUUCACCGGACACCCAGAGCUCGGCGCUCCUCAGCUGCGACGAGGAAGCCCAAAACCCUAGCUCUGACUUCGUCAUUGGGAAUUAUUUGUUGCCCGGCGACCAGGACAUGCUCAACUUGGCCUUCCUCAAAGGCAUGGAGGAGGCGAGCAAGUUCUUGCCGCCCAACAGCAGCCUCCCGGCCAUGAAGGUGGAUCAAGUGGUGGGCGGAGCGCUCGCUGGAGCCGGCCUCAAGAAAAAGAGGGACACUCUAGAUCCAGACAUGGGCAGGGCCAGCAAAUUGAUGAUGCCGGAGCAGGAAGAGGAUGGCGCACGAGAGCUGUUCGACGAAAUGAUGUUCCAGGAACACGAGAUAUGCAUGAAGGGGGUUCAGCAGCUUCGCAUCCCCGUGGACAGCGAACCCGGGAAGAACAGACGGAAGAAGGGACGGCCAAGACGGGACUCGAGUGACAGUGAGAUGGUGGACCUGCACACGCUGCUGCUGAACUGCGCCCAGGCGCUGUCCACAGAUAACCGCCGGACCGCAAGUGAGCUGCUGAAAAGAAUCAGGCAGCAUUCGACCCCAAAGGGUAAUGCGGCGCAAAGACUGGCGCAUUAUUUUGCCGAGGCGCUGGAUGCACGGCUGGCGGGUAGGGGGAGCGAGCUGUACCAGUCGCUCAUGGCAAGGCGUACCUCGGUUGCAGACUUUCUCAAGGCCAACCAGCUUUACAUGGCAGCUUGCUGCUGCAAAAAGGUGGCGUUCAUCUUUGCCAACAAGACCAUCUGCAAUGCUGUGGUAGGGAAGAGCCGAUUGCACAUUGUGGACUAUGGUCUGAGUCAAGGACUGCAGUGGCCGGGCCUGUUACGUAUGCUUGCAGCUAGAGAAGGUGGACCACCAGAGGUGAAGAUCACCGGCAUUGACCUCCCUCAACCUGGGUUCCAUGGAGCCUACCAUAUUGAGGAGACAGGGCGCAGGCUCAGCAACUUCGCCCGCGUGUUCGGUGUGCCGUUUAAGUUCCAUGGUAUUGCAGCAAAGCGGGAGACAGUCCAGCCAGAGGACCUGAACAUCGACCGUGAUGAGGUGCUUGUGGUGAUUAGUCUUUGCCAUUUCAGGCUUUUGAUGGACGAAAACCUCGGCUUUGAUACUCCGAGCCCCAGGGAUCAGGUCCUCAACAACAUCAGGAAGAUGCGCCCAGACGUGUUCAUCCAUGGCAUUAUGAAUGGCUCGUAUGGUGCUACAUACUUCCUGACACGGUUCAGGGAGGCACUGUUCAAUUACUCGGCCCAAUUUGACCUGCUGGAUGCGACAGUCCCCCGGGAUAAUGAAGGGCGUCUGCUGCUUGAGCGCGACAUCUUCGGGCGGUCUGCCCUGAAUGUCAUUGCAUGUGAGGGCGCAGACCGGGUGGAGCGCCCUGAGACAUACAAGCAGUGGCAGCUCCGGAACCACCGGGCAGGGCUGAGGCAGCUGCCAUUGAAUCCAGAUGUUGUUAGGCUUGUGCUGGACAAGGUUAAGGACAACUACCACAAGGACUUCGUCGUUGAUGAGGAUCAGCGGUGGUUGCUGCACAGGUGGAAGGGGCGUGUGCUCUAUGCCCUGUCAACAUGGGUUGCCGACAAUGCAACCUAG